rnacentral:rRNA from 1 species
UACGUAGGGUGCUAGCGUUGUCCGGAAUCAUUGGGCGUAAAGCGCGUGUAGGCGGUCCGGUAAGUCCGCUGUGAAAGUCGGGGGCUCAACCCUCGGAUGCCGGUGGAUACUGUCGGGCUUGAGUACGGAAGAGGCGAGUGGAAUUCCUGGUGUAGCGGUGAAAUGCGCAGAUAUCAGGAGGAACACCAAUUGCGAAGGCAGCUCGCUGGGACGUUACUGACGCUGAGGAGCGAAAGUGUGGGGAGCGAACAGG